ACAAUGAUACUUCUGAACGUUCAGGCUGCCAGCGUAAAAGGCCAGUGGGUGAGAUUCCCAUGA
rfam:Streptococcus pyogenes M1 GAS, complete genome.